UGAUCAUUCUGAUCGUUGACCGGUUUCGAAACUCUCGCACCAGUCUUCAAAGAAGUAGACUAGACAGUGUCCGGAACAAGCUAAUCCAAUUCGAGCUGCUGAUGACAACCGCGACUUUUGUAGUCGCCAUCUUUGGCUUGGUGGCUGGCAAUUCUUCGGCAUGAACUUUCCGGUACCAUUAUUCCACAAUGCAGGUGCCUUUAAGUGGGUCCUCAUAAUUACAGGAGCGAUUGGAAUCACCAUAUUCCCAGCAUUCUAUUGUUUCUUCAAGUAUAGAAGACUUAUGCUGCAAUAGAUAGAUACGCAAGGAUUAAAUUUUCCUUUAAAGGAAGUGUAUGAUCGGCAUCAUUGUUGCAGUUAGUCAAUGUGUAUUGCAUUGAAACUAUAAUUGGAAGUGAGAAUGUGCUUAUUUCUUGUGGCGA